CAGUCGCCGCGGUAAUACAUAGGGUGCGAGCGUUAAUCGGAUUUACUGGGCGUAAAGCGUGCGUAGGCGGCUUCUUAAGUCGGAUGUGAAAUCCCUGAGCUUAACUUAGGAAUUGCAUUCGAUACUGGGAAGCUAGAGUAUGGGAGAGGAUGGUAGAAUUCCAGGUGUAGCGGUGAAAUGCGUAGAGAUCUGGAGGAAUACCGAUGGCGAAGGCAGCCAUCUGGCCUAAUACUGACGCUGAGGUACGAAAGCAUGGGGAGCAAACAGGAUUAGAUACCCGGGUAGUCCCUGUCUCUUAUAC
rnacentral:rRNA from 1 species